rnacentral:rRNA from 1 species
UACGUAGGGUGCAAGCGUUGUCCGGAAUUAUUGGGCGUAAAGAGCUCGUAGGCGGUCUGUCGCGUCUGCUGUGAAAACUCAGGGCUUAACCCUGAGCUUGCAGUGGGUACGGGCAGACUAGAGUGCGGUAGGGGAGACUGGAAUUCCUGGUGUAGCGGUGAAAUGCGCAGAUAUCAGGAGGAACACCGGUGGCGAAGGCGGGUCUCUGGGCCGUAACUGACGCUGAGGAGCGAUAGCAUGGGGAGCAAACAGG